rnacentral:rRNA from 1 species
CAGAGGUUCGAAGGCGAUCAGAUACCGCCCUAGUUCUGACCGUAAACGAUGCCACCUGACGAACAGCCAGGGUUACUACCAUGACUCGGCGGGCAGUCCCCGGGAAACCCAAGCCUUCGGGUUCCGGGGGAAGUAUGGUUGCAAAGCUGAAACUUAAAGGAAUUGACGGAAGGGCACCACCAGGAGUGGAGCCUGCGGCUUAAUUUGACUCAACACGGGGAACCUCACCCGGCCCGGACACCGCGAGGAUUGACAGAUUGAGAGCUCUUUCUCGAUUCGGUGGGUGGUGGUGCAUGGCCGUUCUUAGUUGGUGGAGCGAUUUGUCUGGUUAAUUCCGAUAACGAACGAGACUCUAGCCGGUUAAGUAGCCCGAGCGGUUUUUGAUCUUUGCCGUUCAUCCCCGUUCGACCUUU